rnacentral:rRNA from 1 species
AUUGAACGCUGGCGGCAGGCCUAACACAUGCAAGUCGAACGGCAGCGGGGGAUAGCUUGCUAUCCUGCCGGCGAGUGGCGGACGGGUGAGUAAUGCAUGGGGAGCUGCCCAAUCGAGAAGGAUAACAACUGGAAACGGUUGCUAAUACCGCAUACGCCCUGCGGGGGAAAGGUGGGGAUCUUCGGGCCUACCGCGAUUGGAUGCACCCAUGUGGGAUUAGCUAGUUGGUGAGGUAACGGCUCACCAAGGCGACGAUCUCUAGCUGGUCUGAGAGGAUGACCAGCCACACUGGAACUGAGACACGGUCCAGACUCCUACGGGAGGCAGCAGUGGGGAAUAUUGCACAAUGGGGGAAACCCUGAUGCAGCCAUGCCGCGUGUGUGAAGAAGGCCUUCGGGUCGUAAAGCACUUUCAGUGGGGAGGAAGGGCUGAUGACUAAUAUUCAUCAGCAUUGACGUUACCCACAGAAGAAGCACCGGCUAACUCCGUGCCAGCCGCCGCUGUAA